UCCCAUGUUCCUAGAGAUUCAUGCCAAGAC
rnacentral:piRNA from 1 species